GUUAUGCCAACUAACGUUACAGAAUCCCUCACAGGGCACUGAGUGCUGGGUGGGCCGUGUGUUUUACAGCAUCAUCUCCCAUCAUUUUCACAACAAUCCUGGGAGACACCUUUGGGAAGUCGUCUGUCUUCGUGGCAGAAUGGAAGCCAGGAGUGCCAUUAGGAGUGCACCACCCAUCAGCUCUUGUUCAACUGGAACAUCUUGAUCCUUCUUCCAGACCCCUCAAGCCUCCAUUCGGCGGCAGGCACAGGAUGUGGGUUGCCUGCCCAACAUCCACUUUGCCUUCUGAUAUCAGAACUCAAAUAUAUAUCUAUAUCUGACGGAGAGAGUCACCAAAUGCCUUCCCCAACGCCCUUGCAGGGACGUAAGCACGUGCUUAGCGAGUGUGACCACGGCCAUGGUGACUCCCCCAGCAGAGUGGUUGAGAUGGUGUGGUGGUGUCUGGCCAGGAUCUGAAUUCCCAAACAUCUUCCUCCUCCUCAAGCAAAUGGUUUUGGGAUGGUUUGGAAUCGACAACCUGCUUCCCAAUGUGGCUUCUGCAUAACUUCCUUGCUAUGGGAUCUCAAGCUGAUCCUUAGUUCCUUCAUCUUGACGCGGGAACAUUAAUAAUGCUGUCUUCUGGGGCACCUGGGUGGCUCAGUCAGUUAAGCAUCUGCCUUUGGCUCAGCUCGUGAUCUCAGGGUCCUGGGAUCGAGCUCUGCACUGGGGAUCCCUGCUCAGCAGGGAGUCUGCUUCUCCCUCUCCCUCUGUCUCUCCCCACUACUUGUGCUCUGUCUCACAUAAAUCAGUAAAAUCUUAAAAAAAAAAAAAUGCUGCCUUCUCAGGCUCUUGGCAGGACUGGACCUGAGUGUAAACUCCAUGAGGGUAGGAUGAAUAUUCCAUUCAUCACCAUGCACCCACACUACGCUGUGGGUACACAGUAGGUGCUUAACAGUUGUGCAUUGAGUGGAUGGGUGUGCAGGUCUCAGCAGAGUGACUGGUUCAAGAAAUCUUCGCUGAAAAGCUAAAUGAAUACCCAAACAGCACCCAGGCCACAGGUUCCAGUGGGAGGCAUGGGGAGGGAAGGGUUAAGUGAUGGGUCUCUACAACCCCCGCACCGCUCCCCAUCAGAGCAGAUCAGCUUUUAUCAGAUUUAUGCAAGGGAUUCGUUCCUGAAGUUAUGCAUUAUUCAAGACUAAAUUUCCCAGAGGGAUAAAUGUAAAGCAAGAUCUGCAUUAUUUCAAAAUCUGAGCAUACGGCGAGUCUUUAUUAAUAUUUUUAAAUCGCCUGAUUUCCAAGUCACAUAAUACAAAUUUGCAUCAAGUGUGACAUCCUGUUUCAGAGUGCUGGAUGAAGUUUGGUGGGCAGAAAGUUUUCUGAGGGUUAAAAAGUUCAGACCCUCCUCCUGGCCUCCCACAUUUGUGGCAAGAGGUCUGUAAGGCGAGAGGUGAGGUUUGGCCAUAAUCAUUUGGUAUUAAAAGUAGUUAAAAUGCCAACGUGGAGGGAUGAUUCACUUUUACCAAAAAUCACUGUUGAUUCAAAUUUAGCUGUAUGGAGCCGUGUGAAUUAUUGAAAAAUUAAUCGCUGUCUUUUUUCUCACUGCUUUAGGCUCAUCAGAAGGGAAUAAAGGAACUUUUCUCCCAUUCUCCCGGGAACUUGCUACAAGUGCAGGAGGGCAGCAUGCAGGGUGCUGGCUGAAAAUGCAGACUCCCGGGUUCUACACACCAGUUUUGAGGUGGGCCCAGGACUCUGCAUUUUUAACAGGAGCUUCAGGACGCUCUGGGGCAGUGAUGAGGACACUGCGGCACAGAGAGGUUUAGCAACGCAAAGUCACACCGCCUGUGAAAGGCAGAGCCAGUAUCUACAUUUGAGCAAUAAGCUAUAGUCUAUUCUUGGUCCCCUUGCUCUUCAGCCACAAGUAGUAAGUGUGAGGAUGUGAUCACACCAACUGGCGACUGCAUCUUUCUUUCCAAUCAUUCAGGCCCAAACCCUGAGACGCUUGUAAGAUCCACAGAAAGGAGAUGUGUCCUGAAAUUGAGCACCAUCGAACUUACUCACCUACAUUAAUAAUGGAGAUAAGACUUGAUUUAGAAAUGUAAAGAAGUGGGACCUAUCUUGCACGUUCAGGAGUUUACAGAGCAACUUACACCUAUGGCCCCAAUUAGAAUGUCAAAUUCCCUUGCUUGCUUUUUCGAUAUGCCUUCUUUCUUAAUUUGGUUUUUUUGAGCAGAUCCGACGCUGUAUUUACGUAGUUCAGAAAUAAAGAUAA